rnacentral:rRNA from 1 species
GACCCGUCUUGAAACACGGACCAAGGAGUUCAACAUGCGAGCUAGUUGUUGGGACUUGAAACCCGCUAGCAAAGUGAAAGCAAGACAUAGUGUAACGCUGUGUAUUUGGCGUGAUCCCGUUACUUGGUCCUGAAAAGUCCGAGCCGGGCGCAUCGCCGGCCCGUCAUAAGCUCACGUGGCUGUGGCGGAGCCUGAGCUCGCACGUUGAGACCCGAAAGAUGGUGAACUAUGCCUGGGCAGGAUCGGCGGUGGCGUCGAAGGCUUACGGGCGUAAUCCGGCCUGGAGCCGCCGUCGGUGCAGAUCUUGGUGGUAGUAGCAAAUACUCAAGCGAGACCCUUGAGGACUGAAGUGGAGAAGGGUUCCAUGUGAACAGCAGUUGAACAUGGGUCAGUCGAUCGUAAGCCAUCGGCGAAAGCCGUUCAGAAGCGGUGUAGAUAGUGGCUCUUGUAGUCACUGGUUCGUCUGUUGCGUUUACUCGUAGCAUGCGAUCACUGCACCUGGCGAAAGGGAAUCGGGUUAAUAUUCCCGAACUCGGCAUCGGAUAUUGCCUGGGUUCGGUUUCACGGCUGGCCUAGGACAUGCGGUAACGCAAAUGAACUCGGAGACGCUAACACGUGCCCUGGGAAGAGUUGUCUUUUCUUCAUAAGGCGCAGGCUCCCUGGAAUCGAAUCACUCGGCGAUAGGGAGAUGGCGUCCGUAGAGCACCGCGGUUCUUGCCGUGUCCGGUGCGCACGUGUUGGUCCUUGAAAAUCUGAGGGAGAGUGUUAUUUUCGUGCCGAAUCGUACCCAUAUCCGCAGCAGUCUCC